rnacentral:rRNA from 1 species
AGUACGAGAGGACCGGGAUGGACGGGCCGCUGGUGUACCGGUUAGACUGCCAAGUCUACGGCCGGGUAGCCAAGCCUGGAAGGGAUAAACGCUGAAGGCAUCUAAGCGUGAAGCCCCCCUCAAGAUGAGAUAUCCCAUUCGAAAGAAGUAAGACCCCUUGAAGACGACGAGGUAGAUAGGGCAGAGGUGGAAGUGCAGUAAUGUAUGGAGCUGACUGUUACUAAUCGGUCGA